rnacentral:rRNA from 1 species
GACGAACGCUGGCGGCGUGCUUAACACAUGCAAGUCGAACGGUAAGGCCCUUCGGGGUACAUGAGUGGCGAACGGGUGAGUAACACGUGGGUGAUCUGCCCUGCACUUCGGGAUAAGCCUGGGAAACUGGGUCUAAUACCGGAUAGGACUCCUGCCUGCAUGGGUGGGGGUGGAAAGCUUUUGCGGUGUGGGAUGGGCCCGCGGCCUAUCAGCUUGUUGGUGGGGUGAUGGCCUACCAAGGCGACGACGGGUAGCCGGCCGGAGAGGGUGACCGGACACACUGGGACUGCGAUACGGCCCAGACUCCUACGGGAGGCAGCAGUGGGGAAUAUUGCACAAUGGGCGCAAGCCUGAUGCAGCGACGCCGCGUGAGGGAUGACGGCCUUCGGGUUGUAAACCUCUUUCAGCACAGACGAAGCGCAAGUGACGGUAUGUGCAGAAGAAGGACCGGCCAACUACGUGCCAGCCGCCGCAGUAA